rnacentral:lncRNA from 1 species
UCAUGCAAAAAAGCAAAAAGUGAAAACAAUUGGAAAAACAAAUAUUUAACAUGCAUUUAUUGAAUGAAAAUAUCAUUGUAUUAAAUGUUGUCAACAAUGUCAUCACUUCUCCUUUUGGCAUGGGAGAAGGGUUUUUAAACAAAGCAAACAUAUUACGCUAACUUAUGAAUGACCGUAGGAACAUCCACAACGACCCAAUUGUGGCAGAUCCCGCCAAGGAUAACAAAGUUGUCAGUAUCUUCUGCAUCCUCUUC